rnacentral:rRNA from 1 species
GAUGAACGCUAGCGGCAGGCCUAAUACAUGCAAGUCGAAUGGGAUCCAGAUCAAAGCUUGCUUUGGUCUGGUGAGAGUGGCGCACGGGUGCGUAACGCGUGAGCAACCUACCCUUGUCAGGGGGAUAGCCCGGCGAAAGUCGGAUUAAUACCGCAUGACAUCAUUGAGAGGCAUCUUUCGAUGAUCAAAGAUUUAUCGGACAAGGAUGGGCUCGCGUGACAUUAGCUAGUUGGUAAGGUAACGGCUUACCAAGGCUGCGAUGUCUAGGGGCUCUGAGAGGAGAAUCCCCCACACUGGUACUGAGACACGGACCAGACUCCUACGGGAGGCAGCAGUAAGGAAUAUUGGUCAAUGGACGGAAGUCUGAACCAGCCAUGCCGCGUGCAGGAGGACGGCCCUAUGGGUUGCAAACUGCUUUUAUACGGGAACAAACGUCGGUACGUGUACCGGUCUGAGUGUACCGUAAGAAUAAGGAUCGGCUAACUCCGUG